rnacentral:rRNA from 1 species
CGGAUUAGGUAGUUGGUGGGGUAACGGCCCACCAAGCCUAAGAUCCGUACGGGCUGUGGGAGCAGGAGCCCGGAGAUGGACCCUGAGACAAGGGUCCAGGCCCUACGGGGCGCAGCAGGCGCGAAACCUCCGCAAUGCGGGAAACCGCGACGGGGUUAGCCGGAGUGCCCGUGCAUUGCACGGGCUGUCGGGGUGCCUAAACAGCACCCCAUAGCAAGGGCCGGGCAAGGCCGGUGGCAGCCGCCGCGGUAAGACCGGCGGCCCGAGUGGCGGCCACUCUUAUUGGGCCUAGAGCGUCCGUAGCCGGCCCAGUAAGUCCCCCGGGAAAUCUGGUCGCUUAACGAUCAGACUUCCGGGGGAUACUGCUGGGCUAGGGACCGGGAGAGGCCGAGGGUAUUCCCGGGGUAGGGGUGAAAUCCUGUAAUCCCGGGAGGACCACCUGUGGCGAAGGCGCUCGGCUGGAACGGGUCCGACGGUGAGGGACGAAGGCCUGGGGAGCGAACCGGAUUAGAUACCCGGGUAGUCCAGGCUGUAAACGAUGCGGGCUAGGUGUCACCGGAGCUACGAGCUCCGGUGGUGCCGGAGGGAAGCCGUUAAGCCCGCCGCCUGGGAAGUACAGCCGCAAGGCUGAAACUUAAAGGAAUUGACGG